UGGAAGAGAGAUUUCCGACCAUGAUUUGAAGACGUGGAGCUAUUGAAUACACAUCGCCCCGUGAUCAAUUUGAUAGAUUAUUAUUAUUUUUAAAAAUGACGUUGCGUUUUGAAACAGUGUUUUUUUCUGGAUCACAGUUUUCAGAGAUGGAUAUUUUGGGUAUAUAUGGACCGAUUUAAUCGAGAAAAAAAAAGACCCAAUAGUGAUGUUUACAGUCUAACCAGACACCUAGGUGUUUGAAGUUGUCCAUAUAUUCUAAGUCAGAACCGUCCAGAGUAGUGAUGUUGGACAGGCGGGCAGGUGCAGGCAGCGAUCGGUUGAAGAGCAUCCCAAACUCGAACUUGUAUUUAAGAGCAAUUGGAGGCCACGGAAGGAGAGUUGUGAAGCUCGCCUGGAGGGUUGUUAACACAAUGUCCAAAGAAGGGCCAGAACUAUACAGAAUUGUGUCGUCUGCGUAGACGUGGAUCAGAGACUCACCAGCAGCAAGAGCGACAUCAUUGAUGUACAGUAUAUCACAAAAGUGAGUACACCCCUCACAUUUUUGUAAAUAUUUGAGUAUAUCUUUUCAUGUGACAACACUGAAGAAAUGACACUUUGCUACAAUGUAAAGUAGUGAGUGUACAGCUUGUAUAACAGUGUAAAUUUGCUGUCCCCUCAAAAUAACUCAACACACAGCAAUUAAUGUCUAAACCGCUGGCAACAAAAGUAAGUACACCCCUAACUGAAAAUGUCCAAAUUGGGCCCAAAGUGUCAAUAUUUUGUGUGGCCACCAUCAUUUUCCAGCACUGCCUUAACCCUCUUGGGCAUGGAGUUCACCAGAGCUUCACAGGUUGCCACUGGAGUCCUCUUCCACUCCUCCAUGACGACAUCACGGAGCUGGUGGAUGUUAGAGGCCUUGCACUCCUCCACCUUCCAUUUGAGGAUGCCCCACAGAUGCUCAAUAGGGUUUAGGUCUGGAGACAUGCUUGGCCAGUCCAUCACCUUUACCCUCAGCUUCUUUAGCAAGGCAGUGGUCGUCUUGGAGGUGUGUUUGGGGUCAUUAUCAUGUUGGAAUACUGCCCUGCGGCCCAGUCUCCGAAGGGAGGGGAUCAUGCUCUGCUUCAGUAUGUCACAGUACAUGUUGGCAUUCAUGGUUCCCUCAAUGAACUGUAGCUCCCCAGUGCCGGCAGCACUCAUGAAGCCCCAGACCAUGACACUCCCACCACCAUGCUUGACUGUAGGCAUGACACACUUGUCUUUGUACUCCUCACCUGGUUGCCGCCACACACGCUUGACACCAUCUGAACCAAAUAAGUUUCUUGGUCUUAACAGACCACAGGACAUGGUUCCAGUAAUCCAUGUCCUUAGUCUGCUUGUCUUCAGCAAACUGUUUGCGGGCUUUCUUGUGCAUCAUCUUUAGAAGAGGCUUCCUUCUGGGACGACAGCCAUGCAGACCAAUUUGAUGCAGUGUACGGCGUAUGGUCUGAGCACUGACAGGCUGACCCCCCACCCCUUCAACCUCUGCAGCAAUGCUGGCAGCACUCAUAUGUCUAUUUCCUAAAGACAACAUCUGGAUAAAACUGAAUUGAAAGGGAUCCUCACAGAAGCUAAUCUCCUUGGCUACAUUUCAGACAAGGAGUUCAACGUUCUUUUCAAUGGCAGUAUGUCUUCUUUUUACCUUCUUCCAAAGGUCUACAAAAAUCUUGAAAAUCCCCCCAGGCAGACCAGUGGUAAUGAAAGUCUGACAGAACCCAUCUCUAAGUACAUUGAUUACUUUAUUAAGCCUUUUCUGACGUCACUCCCAGCCUAUCUUCAAGAUAACACAGAUGUGUUGAACAAAAUUAAGGAAUUGAACAAUAUAGGUACAGCUUCCUUUUUAGUCAACAUGGGUGUGGAGUCUCUAUACACCACCAUUGAGCAUGAACAAGUUUUGGCAGCUAUGCACCAUUUCUUGAGUACCCGACCUGAAACUGAGAUGCCUCCUACAGAAUUCAUUGACUCACUGACUGAAUGGACUCUUAAUCACAACAUCUUUAUCUUUCAGGACCGUAUUUCUAAACAAGUCAAAGGGUAUGCCAUGGGAGCUUGCUAUACAGCCCUUCCUAUGCUGGUUUGUACUUGGGUAAAUGGGAAAAUGACUUCAUUUUGGAUCCUUCUAAUAACCAUUUCUUUGUUUGCCUGUUUUGGUCUGGCUCAGAAGAUGAACUUAUUUCCUUCCACCAAUACCUUAACAACAUUAACCCUAACAUCAAACUAACUAUGGAGUAUGUUGUGGAGAAUUGUUUCAGAAAUAUAAUACUCUCAGAAGAACUUUGUGAAUUCAAUGUAGACUUUAAUACAAGUUAUUAAGAGCCGUGCUGGUCCGCGGAAUAGCCCCUUCUUAGCACGGGCUCUGCUUUUAUACAUACAUAGUAUUUUUGUACAUCACAUAUGUAAAUAAAGUUACUCCCCCUUAGUAUCUUCUUUUGGUUACAACGAUGGCAGAACUCUUUCCAUGUUCUAAAAAUAAUGUAUGUAUUGCAUGCUUAUGUUUUACGUGUUAGUCAUCAGCUAUCUUGCCUACAUCUUUCUUCCUGUAUCCUGCUGACCAUAGCACGUUCAGCUGUCAUGAAUGCACGUAUGGUCUUGGUUAAUGUAUUCUUUCAAAAAUAGAGUAUGGUCUGGGUGUCAUAUGGCCUGGAUAUCAUCUUCUCUUAAUGUGCAUGUCCUCGCUACUUCAGCCUAGCAGCCAAACCUAUCUACAUGCAAUGCUGAGCUUUCCUCAAUGGUUCGCUCCAACAAGUACAGCAAAGAUAACAUUCAUUUUUUGGACCUCGACAUGAGUAAAAAUGACAAAGGUUGUUUGCACACAUCUAUCUUUAGGAAGCCUACAGAUGGGAAUACCAUCUGGGGUCGUGAUGGGUCCAUUUGCUGUCAUCUAGUGGACAUUUUGCUUUAUUGCCCUCAGCUAUGGACAAUGACCCAAAACAUACCUUCAGGCUGUGUAAGAUUAUUUGACCAAGGAGCGCGAUGGAGUGCUGCAUCAGAUUACCUGGCCUCCACAAUCACCCAACCUCAACCCAAUUGAGAUGGUUUGGGAUGAGUUGGAGCGCAGAGUGAAGUAAAAUCAGCCAACAAGUGCUCAGCAUAUGUGGGAACUCCUUCAAAACUGUUGGAAAAGCAUUUCUCAUGAACCUGGUUGAGAGAAUGCCAAGAGUGUGCAAAACUGUCAUCAAGGCAAAGGGUGGCUACUUUGAAGAAUCUAAAAUCUAUUUUGAUUUGUUGAACACUUUUUGGGUUACUACAUGAUACCAUAUGCGUUAUAUGUUCAUAGUUUUGAUGUCUUCACUAUUAUUCUACAAUGUAGAAAAUAGUCAAAAUAAAGUAGGUGUGUUCAAACUUU